UUUUCCAGGACUACCUGGAAUGAAAUUACGCUUCCGCCUUUCAGUUUUCGAAGAAACUACGUAUCAUGGUGGGCGCAUGUAAACUCGUCUCGAACACACCCCUCGUCACGUACUUCACUGUCUUACGACGUUAAGCGUUUUCCACAUCGGUUACAUUCUGGGCGUAGUCUCUGGGUAUAAGCGUUACCCGGCGUACUAACAACGACAGUUUACCGUGUCCCGUCGCAUUCAGGAGCAUACAGUUAUAUUCAGUGAUCUUCUGCGCCCACAAUGGUAUAACUCAAGUCGAAUAAACCGAGACGAUGACCAGAGCCGCGUGGUUCUGCUCUGCCCCGAUUUGUUGUCUUUCCCGUUUCCUUACCGUUUUAGUGGCAAACAACCUUCGAGUGCUGCUUCCUACAAGAACAGCCGCAAGGUUCGAGGUCGACGUUAGAUUUUUGUUUGUGGUUCUCUUGUCAGAAAAGGUGAGGAGCAGCGCCUUUAGACUGCGAAAGGUGUCGCAAGAAAACUUGCAACUCUUACGGCGGGAACCCGCGCAGAUACUGUGUCGGGAGGACCCCGUUACCAGGCUUGCGGUGUUGCGAGGCGAGAACCAUUCAAAUGUACGAAAAAGAUUUGUAAAACUGCGAUGAUGCAUCCUAUGAAACGCAAAAUCAUUCUGCAAUACAAAUUUC
rnacentral:lncRNA from 1 species